UUGGUACUCGCUCCGUCCAACAAAAUAUCUCUCAAGUUUGUCAAAAUUUGGAUGCAUCUGGACAUGACUUAGUGUAUAAAUGCAUUCGAAUUUAGUCAAAAUUAAGACAUCUUUUGUUGGACAGAAGAAUCAGUAUAAU
rnacentral:pre_miRNA from 1 species